rnacentral:rRNA from 1 species
GACGAACCACACAAACGUUAUUCGGAAUUACUGGGCUUAAAGGGUGCGUAGGCUGCGCAGAAAGUUGGGUGUGAAAUACCUCGGCUCAACCGAGGAACUGCGCCCAAAACUACUGUGCUUGAGGGAGAUAGAGGUGAGCGGAACUUAGGGUGGAGCGGUGAAAUGCGUUGAUAUCCUAAGGAACACCCGUGGCGAAAGCGGCUCACUGGAUCUCUUCUGACGCUGAGGCACGAAAGCUAGGGUAGCGAACGGG